CGGGGGGCAGCAGUAGGGAAUCUUGCGCAAUGGGCGAAAGCCUGACGCAGCCAUGCCGCGUGAAUGAUGAAGGUCUUAGGAUUGUAAAAUUCUUUCACCGGGGAAGAUAAUGACGGUACCCGGAGAAGAAGCCCCGGCUAACUUCGUGCCAGCAGCCGCGGUAAUACGAAGGGGGCUAGCGUUGCUCGGAAUUACUGGGCGUAAAGGGCGCGUAGGCGGAUAGUUUAGUCAGAGGUGAAAGCCCAGGGCUCAACCUUGGAACUGCCUUUGAUACUGGCUAUCUUGAGUUCGGGAGAGGUGAGUGGAAUGCCGAGUGUAGAGGUGAAAUUCGUAGAUAUUCGGCGGAACACCAGUGGCGAAGGCGACUCACUGGCCCGAUACUGACGCUGAGGCGCGAAAGCGUGGGGAGCAAACAGGAUUAGAUACCCCAGU
rnacentral:rRNA from 1 species